rnacentral:rRNA from 1 species
UGGGGAAUAUUGCACAAUGGGCGCAAGCCUGAUGCAGCCAUGCCGCGUGUGUGAAGAAGGCCUUCGGGUUGUAAAGCACUUUCAGCGAGGAGGAAGGUGGUGAGCUUAAUACGCUCAUCAAUUGACGUUACUCGCAGAAGAAGCACCGGCUAACUCCGUGCCAGCAGCCGCGGUAAUACGGAGGGUGCAAGCGUUAAUCGGAAUUACUGGGCGUAAAGCGCACGCAGGCGGUUUGUUAAGUCAGAUGUGAAAUCCCCGGGCUCAACCUGGGAACUGCAUUUGAAACUGGCAAGCUAGAGUCUCGUAGAGGGGGGUAGAAUUCCAGGUGUAGCGGUGAAAUGCGUAGAGAUCUGGAGGAAUACCGGUGGCGAAGGCGGCCCCCUGGACGAAGACUGACGCUCGGGUGCGAAAGCGUGGGGAGCAAAACAGGAUUAGAUACCCUGGUAGUCCACGCUGUAAAACGAUGUCGAUUUUGGAGGUUGUGCCCUUGAGGCGUGGCUUCCGGAGCUAACGCGUUAAAUCGACCGCCUGGGGAGUACGGCCGCAAGGUUAAAACUCAAAUGAAUUGACGGGGUCAUAGCUGUUUCCU